CCUACGCGAGGCAGCAGUGGGGAAUAUUGGACAAUGGGGGGAACCCUGAUCCAGCGACGCCGCGUGAGUGAAGAAGUAUUUCGGUAUGUAAAGCUCUAUCAGCAGGGAAGAAAGAAAUGACGGUACCUGACUAAGAAGCCCCGGCUAACUACGUGCCAGCAGCCGCGGUAAUACGGAGGAUGCGAGCGUUAUCCGGAUUUAUUGGGUUUAAAGGGUGCGUAGGCGGGCUGUUAAGUCAGCGGUAAAAGCCCGGGGCUCAACCGCGGAACUGCAUUUGAAACUGUUUUUCUUGAGUACCGGAGAGGUCAUCGGAAUUCCUUGUGUAGCGGUGAAAUGCGUAGAUAUAAGGAAGAACACCAGUGGCGAAGGCGGAUGACUGGACGGCAACUGACGGUGAGGCGCGAAAGCGUGGGGAGCAAACAGGAUUAGAUACCCCAGUAGUC
rnacentral:rRNA from 1 species